ensembl:lncRNA
ACCAGGCAGAAAGUAACGGUCUGUGCAAAGGCCCUGGGGCGGGAGCUGGCCAGGACAGUGAGGCGGCCAGUGGGGCUGGAGGGAACACUGAGGGGGAGAGCGGGUGCAAGUAGGCAGGGAGGGGCAGGGCAGAGGGAGCACAGCCUGGUGGGUCACCGGGAGGACUCUGACUUCUGCUUUGUGUGAGGUGGGAGCCAUGGAGGGUUCCUGAGCAGAGGAAGGACCUGACUCGGACACUCAAGGGCGCCCUCUGGCUGCUGCUGGGGGAACAGGCUGUAGGGGGUGAGAGCGGGAGCUGGAAGAUGAGAGUAGAGGGCACUGCGCUGGUCCCAGGGGAGGUGACGGCCUCAUGCAGGAGGAUGGGGCCGUGGAGGAGGUGGGGAGGCUGGCGCUCAGAGAGGGGAUGCUGCGUGCCCAGGGCUGCACCCCCAGAAAGUAGCAGAGCCAGGACGCGACCCCCGGCCGCUCUGCUCCUCUGUCCCUCGUGAGAGCCACAGACGAGGCCUGGCCUUCCGGAGCCCUCUAUCCGGGAGAGAGAGACAGGAAAUAGCAAAUGAGCGAGAACAUACCACUCGGUGACAAGGGUGAGGAAGAUCUCAGAGGGCGGCUGGGGUGGGGGGCUUGGGUGGCGGUCCCCAAGACCCCCCUUGGGGUGCAUGAUUCACUAGGACUCACAGACCGCAGAAAAGCUGUUCUACUCGUGAUUACGGUUUAUCACAGGGGAAGGAUACAGAUUAAAGUCAGCAAAGAGCAAAAGCUCGAGGAGCGGGACCCGGCAAGGCCAGGCGCCAGCUUCCAGUGUCCGCCCUUGGAGUCAGCGGACAGCCGUGAAUUCUCCACGUGGACUGUCGCCAAGCAGGGACACCCGCCUGAGCCCUGGGGCCCAGCGUUUUACGGGGAGGUGGGCGCGUAGGCGUGGCUGACCAGCGUGCGGCUGGCCCGGGCUGCAGCCCCUGCAGAGGUCCCGCUGAUUCUGAACGGGGGCCCAGGCCCAGCGGAAUCUCACAGGAGCCCAGGGCGUCCGUCCCGGCUGAGGUCCAGGGUGCAGAUUCUCACAGGCAGGACGUCCCGGGGGCAAGCAGGUGACAUCCUAGGAGUAGGGCCGGGCCUGCAGAUGGGCCUUUCUUGGGAACGUGCGGGAUCAGGGCCCCCUGGGCUGCUGAGCUGACUCGACCGUACAGGCCUCAGUGUUGUGCUGGGCCAGGAAUGCAUCUUCAAAGAGCUCGUGUUGAAGCCGAGGCCUGCAGGAGGGGUUUCCUUCCCUGACUGAGGCUUCCAGUGAGACCGCAGCCCCAGCUGACACCCGCCGGCAGCCUGUGAGAGACCCUGAAGGGGGAGCCGUGCAGAUGUCUGGAGACAGAGAAUUCCGGGCAGAGGGAACGGCAGGUGCAAAGGCCCUGAGGUGGGACUGAGCUUCCAAGAAGAGACGUGAGGUGGGCACAGCCAGCCCUGAGGGAAGGAGGCGGGAUCAGAAGGGCAUCUGGAGCCAGGUCGGAGGCCUCACAGACGGCAUGGCAGACAGAUAGGGGUCCGGGAGGGCACCCCUCUGGGGGUGAAGAACUGAGCAGGUCAGGGUGCCAUACACUAAGAAGGCGAAAAUCAGUGGACAGACACCAAGGUGGCCCCACGGUUCCUGCCUCCUGGCAUUCACACCGUGUCCCUCCCUUGUCCUGGAGCGCGGGCAGCACCUUGAGACUCACUUCUAACUACAGAAUAAGACACAGAUGACUGGGCCACGCUUCCAAGACCGGCUUCCAAAUGACCGAGGCUUCCGUCUCGCUCUCACCAGCUCCAAUGACGCCAGUGGCUGCCCUGUGAGCUGCCCCGGGGGGGCCCGCUCAGCCGGGAGCUGAAGCAUCUCCUCAGCCAGGGGGCUGAGUCCUGCCAACUGCUCAGGCUGACUGUGGGGUGGAGCCUCCCCUCUCGAGCCCUCGGAUGACACUGCAGCCCCCAAGACACCCGGCUGGCAGCCUGUGAGGGGCCCUGGAGCAGAAGUGACCUGCCAGUGACCUGCCCCAGGUCAGGAGGGGUGUCAGGAGUCACAGAGUUUGCCACGUUAAAGAGAAUCAUAAUGGACGUCUGCCUGGGGCUGGCUUCCCCCCAGUGCAGAGCCUGAGACAAGGGUUGAGAGCAGCUGCUUCACUAGAUGAGGAUUCAAGAAAGCAUCUGUAGAGAAGGCAGGAAGUGAGCUGGGGAUGGCUGGGCAGCAGAUACUGAGCUGUGGGCGCCUGGGCUCAGCCCCUCUGGAGCCCCCAGAGUUACCCCAUAUGAGGGGGUGGGGCUGGCUGAGAGUGAUGGAGGGCUAUUCCCAGGGAUCUCAGCGCCCUUGGACUGUGGCCCCGUGGCCACGGAGCCCCAGGUGCAGCGGCACGUGGGGCCACAGCAAGGGCCGAGCGCACAGGUGUGCUUCCCCUUUGCCUCAGGCCCGGGAGCGCCUCAGCGUGGCACCGAGACUGGUCUUGUCUGCGUGUAAAAUGUUGCUAUUUUAUUCCUCGUGGGCAUUUUGCAUUAAUUUUGAUUUCUUUAAAACGCUGUGUUAGAAUAACAUCUAUCUUGACUCCUGAGUUCUUUGGUGCCCCCUUAAACCUCGUUCUGCCAGGUGGUGGCUCCCUCCUUGUGUGCCUGCAGCCGGGGGCCCACCGUGGGAGGCCAGUACGCGGGGCACGGCUCAUGGUGACUGUCGCCGGUCAGAGCCCAGGCCUGGGACAGCGGGCACGUCACCCUGCGCCUGCCACAUCCGUGCAUCCCAGGUGACUGCAGAGGGAGAAGGAAACAGCCACUGUCGGCACCGGCUCUCAAGCCCCCACCGGAAGCCACACAUGUCACACCCUCUCCCGUUUUUCCAGCCAAAACCAGUCACACCGCCACCCGCGUGGGCAGGCACCACCUCCUCCCUCGCGCCUGACAGGAGAGAGCGUCCCGGGUGGCGACCCCAGUGGCCCCGUGGCAGCCCGGCCAGGUUGAGCGGGGGAGCUGGGUUUCUGGACCGAGGCGGGAGGGCCGGGUGGAGACGGGAAGGUCCCAGGCUUUAGGGCACAAUUAGUGUUGACUCCCUGGGGGUUCCCCCCUGCCCCUGUCCCAGCUUCCUGCCACCUGACAGCCCCCCCCCCGGGCUGGGCGUCCAGCCUCAGUCCUGUCCUAACGUCCUGCCUGGGAUUUCUCUUGUUUUAAAUGUGACGAAAUAUGCAUAAUGUAGAAUUUACCGCCUUCACCAUUUUUAAGCAUCCAGUUAUUGGCAUUAAGUGCACUCACACUGUUGGGCAACCAGCCCCACCGUCCGUCUCUAGAAAUGUCUCGUCUUGUCUUCCCAAACUGGAGCUCUGACCCCAUAAACACUCACUUCCUUGCCGCCUGCCCCCACCCCAGCCCUGGGAACCACCGUCCACUUCCCGUCUCUGUGAACUUGACUCCAGGGACCUCCCAUGAGCGGGAUCCUGCAGCAUCUGUCCUGUUGUGACCCGAUUAUUUCCCUCGGCGUAAUGUCCUCCAGGUCCGUCCGCGUUGGAGCAGGUGUCAGCAUUUCCCUCCUUCUCAAUUUUAAGUGGUAAAAAACACGUGAUCUAAAACUCACCGUCAUGACCGUUUUUGGGCGUGCAGUUCGGUUAAGUGUGUUUACAUUGUUGUGCAAUCCACCUCCAGAAUUUUUCUUCUUGCAAAACUGAAACUGUGCCCACAGAGACAGCGGCUCCCACCCCUCCCGGCCCCGGGCAGCAGCCAACGCCGCUGCGCUUUCCGUUUCUAGAGUUUGACUACCUCAGUCGCCUCAUUUAAGUGGGUCACGCAGUGUUUUUGUCGUUUGGUGACUGGCUUGUUUCACCGCGCAUGGUGUCGUCAGGGUCCUUCCACGUGGUGGCAGGUGUCAGAACAUCCCUCCUUUUUGACACUGAGUCAUAGUCCACUGUGUGGAUGGACCACAUUUGUCUACUCAUCUGUCCAUCGGCCGACACCUGAGUUGCUACCCCUUUUUGGCUGCUGCCAGGAUGGUGUGUGAAUAUCCUUCAGGAUGCGUCGCAGCUCUUUUGGGGGCAAGCCCAGCAGGGCUGCUGAUCGAGUUUAAUUUUACCAGGAACUGACUGCUGUCUCCAUGGCGGCCACGCCCUUUGCACUCCCACCAGCAGCACACGAGCGUCCCAAUUUCUCCACGUCCUCGCCAACACUCGUGAUGUGGUUUUUUCUCUUCGUAGGAGCCAUUCUAAUAAAUGUGAGAUGGUGUCUCAUUGUGCUCCUGAUUCGAAUUUCCCUGAAGAUCAGGGAUGUCAAUCGAGUAUCUUUUCACGCGCUUGUGGGCCAUCGUCUGGGGAUCUCACGACUCUGUUCUGAAGGAGGCUCAGGCCGUGGGCGCCAGCCUCCUUGCCCGUGGCGGGGCCACCGAGGGCCCCAGGGCUGGCUGCUCAAGCCAGGCAGGAGCUGGUGCCCGAGGCAGGUGUGGCGGCGCUGUAUCCCACGUCCACAAAGGGGUCGCCACUGAGCUUCUCACUCGGCACUGAGACACACGCCAGGGGCCCAGGGAAACCCCGGUGAUGCCCUCAUCCCAGAUACAGGCGCCAACGGGAGACGCUGUCAGAGGAGCCCUUCCUCGGAGCACCCGGGAGGACGGCGCUGGCUGCCAUCGCCUGGUCCCUGGCUUUUCGAGUCCCAGCCGGCGCUGGCGGGGUGAUGCCACUGUGCCCCACACUCUUCCUUCAAUCAGCUUGCUUUUCCUUUUUAAAAUUCAUAAGCGAGGGGCCAGCCCGGUGGCGCAGUGGCCAUCAUUGAGCGCCAGCUGUGUCCCAGGCACUGUUGAAGGCAAGGGCCACUGGAGGGGGCAGACGACGGUGAGGACGCUGCACACUGACUGCACGGGGCUCAGUGCUUUGGAAAGAAGAAACGGCACAGCAGGUUGUCCCGUUCCUUCCUCACCUUGUUUGGUGAGGCCCUCCCCAGACAGAAGAACUGCGUCCGGGGAGAGUAGACUGGCUCCCAGGCCCAAGGCAUCCUGGGAAGGAGGAAGGAGAAGAACCCAUGAGGCCGAGGGCGGCUGUGCCUCCGCCUCCCCUCCCCCAGGCUGGAACCCCCACCCCAGCUGCUCCGGGCACCAGCUCCCAGCCUGCGGGGCUGUGGGGAGAGGACCGCCAGCCUGGGGUUUCCAGCUUUCUGGGAAAAAAGUCAACAUCCACUAUGGAUCUGGUCUGGCCCCCUCCCGUGUCCACUGUCCUCCCCCAGGUCCCCCGACCCUGGUAGGACCCCUCCCCACCCAUGUCCAGGGCGGAGGGAGGGUCACAGUGGGCGGGCAGGGGUUAAUUCCUGGAGCCGGCGUGCUCCUCCCACCUCUGGACGAUCUGUCUCUGUCCUCAGCCAUUGGUGACCUUUUUUUUCCAUGACCACAAUCUUCCCCCUUUGAACUAUUAUGUGCUAAAUAUAUAUUUUUUUUAAUUUUCUACACUUGUGCAGCCUUGAAUCCAUUCAUUUAAAAGGAAAAGUUUAUAUUAAUGUCCUAAUGGGAAAACCCUGCUCGUUGCCCCAAACAGCCUGUGAAUUUCAAAAGAAAAAGUAACACAAGGAAGGUGAAACUGUGGAUUUUAGCUGGAUAAACCCGGGGCCACCAAAUGCUAAACGCCUUAGCUCCCUGGAGAGCCUUUCUCCGGGCCCUGGGGACAGGCUGCCUGCCUGCGGAUCUCCUCUUUGCCACUUGGUCGCUGUGCCUCAGUUUCC